ensembl:lncRNA
UGAUCUUUAUCUUAUAUGUGCAUUUAUGGAAAUACAAAUAAAGUCAUUUCUUAUUUAUUUCAGCAGGGGAUGUGAAGAAGCCUCUAUUAGAAGUAGCUCCCAAGUCUCUGCUUCCUAAACCGGGUCAGUCUGGCCUGCGCCCUCCUGGCUUCUCCCACCUGCCUGCUGCCCGCCUCGCUGCCUUUGGCUUUGUCCGCAGUGCCAGUGUGUCCUCCGUGUCCAGCAAUCAAUCUAAUGACAGCACUCACAGUGACCCUUGCCAACCCACCAAUCGUCCAGGCAGUGGAAGUGAGGAGACCAUCCUGCCUCGUUCUUACUCUCCCAGUCAUAGUGGAAGCAGUAGACUGCCCAACUGCAGCAGUCCUCAGCCCCUCAGUGGCCACACUCCUACCCGCCGCUCUCUGCUGCCCCCUCCCCAUGGCUCCCCUGUGGCUGCUAGAAAGGAGUUUCAGAGAGAUGGAGAAGCUACUCAUCCUCUGUCCUCCCCAAAGAGAUUUGCAGUGGUCUCACCCAAGCCUCAGUCCCCUGGUAAAUGCUGUGUUCCAUCUUUUGUGUGUGUGUGUGUGUGUGUGUGUGUGUGUGUGUGUGUGUGUGUGUACUGCCACUCCCACACUCAUUCUUCUAUCUCAUUAGGCAGGGC